CAGAGAAUCACGUUUUACGCUUGUCUUACUUCAGCAUGGACUGUUCUUUCUCCUCUUCUCUCUUCUGGCGGUCCAUGACGUCGAGGAUGAUCCUCCUCUCUUCGUCGGUGAGGUGGCUCAGGUCCGGCAUGUCGGCCAGGCCCCGGUUUGUGUGUUCUUUAAGGUUUCUUAAAUGCACAGAAAGGAGAUGAGAGAAAAAAAUGGACGCAGAGCUCAGCACCGACAGCGGUGCUCGGUCAUUGACGGCCGGAGAGAGCAGCUGGAAAACGCGGACUGGAGGAGGAUCACGGCGGGAUCGGAAAAACCCCCCGAGCUAAAAAUAACAACCACUCUGCUCCAAAGCUACACCCUCUCCGAUCUGCCUUGCUCUGAUUGGUCAGACGCACCAGCCGGCAGAACACAGACCAGCAUUCAAAUAAAGGAUUCUGAAUGGUGAAUCCAGUUAUAUAACUCAAA